UACGUAGGGUCCGAGCGUUGUCCGGAAUUACUGGGCGUAAAGAGCUCGUAGGUGGUUUGUCGCGUUGUUCGUGAAAACUCACAGCUCAACUGUGGGCGUGCGGGCGAUACGGGCAGACUUGAGUACUGCAGGGGAGACUGGAAUUCCUGGUGUAGCGGUGGAAAUGCGCAGAUAUCAGGAGGAACACCGGUGGCGAAGGCGGGAUCUCUGGGC
rnacentral:rRNA from 1 species